rnacentral:rRNA from 1 species
CGUGCCUAACACAUGCAAGUCUGGGAGAAAGGGGUAGCAAUAUCCCAAGUACACCGGCGCACGGGUGAGUAACGCGUGGGAAUAUGCCCUUCGGCUCGGAAUAACACAGGGAAACUUGUGCUAAUACCGGAUACGAUCUACGGAUGAAAGAUUUAUCGCCGAGGGAGUAGCCCGCGUAGGAUUAGCUAGUUGGUGAGGUAAUGGCUCACCAAGGCGACGAUGCUUAGCUGGUCUGAGAGGAUGAUCAGCCACACUGGGAAUGAGACACGGCCCAGACUACUACGGGAGGCAGCAGUGGGGAAUAUUGGACAAUGGGGGAAACCCUGAUCCAGCCAUGCCGCGUGAGUGAUGAAGGCCUUAGGGUUGUAAAGCUCUUUCGCCAGGGAAGAUAAUGACGGUACCUGGAAAAGAAGCCUCGGCUAACUCCGUGCCAGCCGCCGCCGUAAAAC